rnacentral:rRNA from 1 species
GUAGGUGGCAAGCGUUGUCCGGAAUUAUUGGGCGUAAAGCGCGCGCAGGUGGUUCUUUAAGUCUGAUGUGAAAGCCCCCGUCUCAACCGGGGAGGGUCAUUGGAAACUGGGGAACUUGAGUGCAGGAGAGGAAAGUGGAAUUCCACGUGUAGCGGUGAAAUGCGUAGAUAUGUGGAGGAACACCAGUGGCGAAGGCGACUUUCUGGCCUGUAACUGACACUGAGGCGCGAAAGCGUGGGGAGCAAACAGGAUUAGAUACCCUGGUAGUCCACGCCGUAAACGAUGAGUGCUAAGUGUUGGGGGGUUUCCGCCCCUCAGUGCUGCAGCUAACGCAUUAAGCACUCCGCCUGGGGAGUACGGCCGCAAAGACUG